rnacentral:tRNA from 1 species
GGAGAAGUGUCAGAGAGGUUUAAUGAGUCUAAUUCGAAAUUAGAAAUGUUUCAACAUCGAGGGUUCGAAUCCCUCCUUCUCCU